AAGAUUUUAACCUUAUCCUCCUCAGUUAGAAUGUCCUUAAAUAGGGGCAGCUAUAAGACCCCAAUUUUGACCCUAAGAUCCCUCAUGCACUUUCAUCAUAAGCAUUAACAUUGGGAUCAUACCUUGGCAUCCUCCUUACCCUUUUUCAUUGGGUUUGUUUUGGGAGAGAUCACCAAGCACUAUAUGAUUGUAUCAUACUUGUAUCUUAUC
rnacentral:lncRNA from 1 species